rnacentral:rRNA from 1 species
GCUUUGAUUCCAUCGGCUUGCGGGUCGAUGUGAGCCAACGGUGGGAUACCACUCUUUGCGAGCUAGGGUUCUAACGGCCACCCGUCAUCCGGGGGCCGGACAGUACCUGGUGGGCAGUUUGACUGGGGCGGUCGCCUCCUAAAAGGUAACGGAGGCGCGCAAGGUUUGCUCAGGCUGGUUGGAAAUCAGCCGACGAGUGUAAAAACAGAAGCAAGCUUGACUGUGAGACCAACAAGUCGAACAGGGAGGAAACUCGGCUUUAGUGAUCCGACGGUUCUGAGUGGAAGGGCCGUCGCUCAACGGAUAAAAGUUACUCUAGGGAUAAC